AUGGCAGAGCGGUGGAACUGGGUGAUCUUUAAUGUCCAUUCUAACCUACAACAUUCUAUGAUUCUAUGAUCAUGAUCUUAUGACAACUGCAGGCCUGCAUGGACAUUCCUGUAAUCAAAACAGGUUACAGCUGAUUUCAUCCUGAUUCCAUUUUUAAGUUUUUAUGUUGUCCUUUCUGAUAUCCUUGUAAACCCUUAGCUGAUAGACUCUCCAGGACCAAUUUCACCUGCAAGAUCUGGUUUCCCUCCACCCAUUUGAAGAGUGCCCAGCGUUUGUCCUUCCUCUCAUUUCAGCAGGAGGUAGGCUGUGAGACACCAGUUCUCUGUCUGCAAUGGUAGCAAAGUGGUGGCUGAAAGCAGAACUUCACACAGGCUCUACACUUUGCACACGAAAUGGACUCGACAGCAACUUUUGCUGUGCUACAGGACACAAUCUGCUUCAUCCCAGUCUUCCUGCGGUACUUCCUGCUGUGCUUUUGGAGAUCCCACACACCCUCCCGCCCCAUCCUGCCCUUCCCCCGCCACCACUGCUCGGCGCCCCGGAUCCCACCGGUCAGAAAGGAAAGCGCGAAGGCCUAGGCCAUAAGUAAAACGACAAAGUACAAAAGUAAAAGCCGGUUAUUCCGUCCAUAAGGCACGGCCAGGCUGAGGCUUCUCUGAACUGUUCGCGUACAACCGAUUCCGGUGCUCCAAGGAUGAGGGGGUGGAUCUGAGACAGGGCACUGGGGCAGAGCCCUGAGGAUUGCCUGGCUGUUUCUAGGAAGAAUCAGAAGGUGCUUUUGGCUCUGGCGAGCUAUGUCAGCCCGUCUUCCCUCAGCAGCAGCAGCCGCAGCAGCGGCCAGAGCUGCUCCGCAGACCUGCGGCACAGCGAGGCGGCACGGAAGGGCUGCGUGCCCUGCCUGCUCUGCGCCUCCGCCUGCUGCUCGGGCACCCGGGGCUGCCGGCGGCCGCCCCCUUCCCCAGCACCCCGGAGGAGCGUCCCAGCCGCAGGCCGGCUGCGGGGAGCGGCUGCCCGCGCCGGGAGAGGCG